AAUGAAAGCUGGCGGCAGGCCUAACACAUGCAAGUCGAGCGAGCGGCGGACGUGUGAAUAAUGUAUGGGGACUGCCCGAUAGAGGGGGAUAACUACUGGAAACGGUGGCUAAUACCGCCUACUAUAGGAUAACCCAUAUGGGAUUAGCUAGUAGGUGGGGUAAAGGCUCACCUAGGCGACGAUCUCUAGCUGGUCUGAGAGGAUGAUCAGCCACACUGUGACUGAGACACGGCCCAGACUCAGACGGAGUCAGCAGAGGGGAAGAUUGCACAAUGGGCGAAAGCCUGAUGCAGCCAUGCCGCGUGUAGGAAGAAGGCCUGAGGGUUGUAAAGUACUUUCAGCGGGGAGGCGUUACCCGCAGAAGAAGCACCGGCUAACUCCGUGCCAGCCGCCGCGGUAAUUC
rnacentral:rRNA from 1 species